CCGAGUUUACAACUCCCAAACCCCUGUGAACAUACCUCUAUGUUGCCUCGGCGGAUCAGCCCGCGCCCGUAAAACGGGAGGGCCCGCCAGAGGAUCCCCUAAACUCUGUUUCUAUAUGUAACUUCUGAGUAAAAACCAUAAUAAAUCA
rnacentral:misc_RNA from 1 species